UGUGUGUGUAUAUAUAUGAUGCAUCUUGAUCCAUUCAUCCCUUCUCAGACACAUAGACUGUCUCUGUGUCUUGGCUGUUGUGAAUAAUGCUGCAACAAACAUGGGUGCAAAUGGGUCUUUGACAUAGUGAUUUCAUCUCCUUUGCAUAUAUACCUAGAAGUGGGAUUGCUGGAUCACAUGGUAGUCCUAUUUUAAUUUUUGAGGAGCCACCAUACUGUUUUUCACAGUGAAUGGCUGUACUAACUUACAUUCCCAUGGUGUACAAGGGCUCAUUUUUUCCCCAGUCUUCAUCAACACUCUUAAUCUCUUUCCUUUUUGAUGAUAGGCAUUGUAAUUGGUGUAGGUAACAUCUCCUUGUGGUUUUGAAUUGCAUUUCCCUGCUGAUUAGUGAUAUUGAGUACUUUUAAUGUAUCUGUUGGUCAUUGCAUGUUUUUUUUGGAAAAACAUCCAUUCCGCUUCUUUGCCCAUUUUAAAAGCAGAAUCAUUUUUGCUGUUGAGUUAAAUGAGUUGUUAAAUGAGUUUUUCGUUUGUUUGUUUAUUUUUAAGAUGGAGUCACUCUGUCGCCGGGGCUGGAGUACAGUGGCAUGAUCUCGGCUCAUUGCAACCUCUGCCUCCCAGGUCAAGCAAUUAUCCUGCCUCCGCCUCCCGAGUAGCUGGAAUUACAGUGGCUGAUGCGGGUGUUUGUCCUGAGUUGUGAGAGACUUACUGAAGAGGAACCCCUCCAGCAUAGUGAACACAGCAUGGGUUGGUGAGUCAGGGAUCCAGGCUCCCAGCCUGCUCUCACCCAUAACCUCUACUCAUUAGACUGGGAAUGUCCAGUGGAUUCGAGACACCUAAUUUUGAUAAUUUCUGUAUGUUGCAUAAAUAUUUGGAGUGUCAUGAGCCCUCUUAUUAAAUCUGGCAGGGGAUGGAGGUAAGAGAGGGAGACCAGGAGGGAGGAAAUGCUUCAUUUUGAUGGGUUAUUUGAUGUUGG
rnacentral:lncRNA from 1 species